AUUGAACGCUGGCGGCAUGCUUUACACAUGCAAGUCGAACGGUAACAGGCCUUCGGGUGCUGACGAGUGGCGAACGGGUGAGUAAUGCAUCGGAACGUGCCCAGAGGUGGGGGAUAACGCAGCGAAAGCUGUGCUAAUACCGCAUGUGAUCUGAGGAUGAAAGCGGGGGACCAAGCAGCAAUGUUUGGCCUCGCGCCUCUGGAACGGCCGAUGUCAGAUUAGGUAGUUGGUGGGGUAAAGGCCCACCAAGCCGACGAUCUGUAGCUGGUCUGAGAGGACGACCAGCCACACUGGGACUGAGACACGGCCCAGACUCCUACGGGAGGCAGCAGUGGGGAAUUUUGGACAAUGGGCGCAAGCCUGAUCCAGCAAUGCCGCGUGCGGGAAGAAGGCCUUCGGGUUGUAAACCGCUUUUGUACGGAACGAAAAGGCUCUGGCUAAUACCUGGGGCUGAUGACGGUACCGUAAGAAUAAGCACCGGCUAACUACGUG
rnacentral:rRNA from 1 species